AGGUGCCGUAGAAGGUGGUAGAGCUGUCGUAGAAGGUUGUAGAGGUGUCGUAGAAGGUGGUAGAGGUGUCGUAGAAGAUGGUAGAGGUGUCGUAGAAGGUGGUAGAGGUGUCGUAGAAGGUAGUAGAGGUGUCGUAGAAGGUGGUAAAGGUGUCGUAGAAGGUGGUAGAGGUGUCGUAGAAGGUGGUAGAGGUGUCGUAGAAGGUGUCAUAGAGGUGUCAGAAGGUGGUAGGUGUCGUAGAAGGUGGUAGAGGUGUCGUAGAAGGUGGUAGAGGUGUCGUAGAGGUGUCAGAAGGUGGUAGGUGUCGUAGAAGGUAGUAGAGGUUUCGUAGAAGGUGGUAAAGGUGUCGUAGAAGGUGGUAGAGGUGUCAUAGAAGGUGGUAGAGGUGUCGUAGAAGGUGUCAUAGAGGUGUCAGAAGGUGGUAGGUGUCGUAGAAGGUAGUAGAGUUGUCAGAAGGUUGUAGAGGUGUCAAAGGUUGUAGAGGUG
ensembl:lncRNA